rnacentral:rRNA from 1 species
UACGAAGGGUGCAAGCGUUGUUCGGAUUUAUUGGGCGUAAAGCGCGCGCAGGCGGAUUGGUAAGUCAGGUGUGAAAUCUCGAGGCUUAACCUCGAAAUUGCGCCUGAAACUACUUGUCUUGAAUACUGGAGAGGGAAGGGGAAUUUCUCAUGUAGGGGUAAAAUCCGUAGAUAUGAGAAGGAACACCAGAGGCGAAGGCGCCUUCCUAGACAGUCAUUGACGCUGAGGCGCGAAAGCGUGGGGAGCAAACAGG